AACUGUUGGUGAUGAUUUUUCAAGCUAAAACAGAUGGGAAUCUCUCUGAUAAAAGAAUGCAGAAUAACUUUAAAAACUGAAACAGUG
ensembl:snoRNA SNORD79 Small nucleolar RNA SNORD79